GUCGAACGCGAAAGUGGAGCAAUCCAUGAGUAGAGUGGCAAACGGGUGAGUAACACGUGGGUGACCUGCCUUCGAGUGGGGGAUAACGUCCCGAAAGGGGCGCUAAUACCGCAUGAUAUGCCGUUUUUUAAGAGACGGACAUCAAAGCUGGGGAUCGUAAGACCUAGCGCUUGAAGAGGGGCCCGCGCCUGAUUAGCUAGUUGGUGGGGUAAUGGCUCACCAAGGCAACGAUCAGUAUCCGGCCUGAGAGGGCGGACGGACACACUGGGACUGAGACACGGCCCAGACUCCUACGGGAGGCAGCAGUGGGGAAUUGUUCGCAAUGGGCGCAAGCCUGACGACGCAACGCCGCGUGGAGGAUGAAGACCUUCGGGUCGUAAACUCCUUUCGAUCGAGACGAAUGGCCUCUGGGCUAACAUCCCGGAGGAAUGACGGUACCGAGAGAAGAAGCCCCGGCUAACUCCGUGCCAGCAGCCGCGGUAAUACGGGGGGGGCAAGCGUUGUUCGGAAUUACUGGGCGUAAAGGGCUCGUAGGCGGCCAACUAAGUCAUACGUGAAAUCCCUCGGCUUAACCGGGGAACUGCGUCUGAUACUGGAUGGCUUGAGUUUGGGAGAGGGAUGCGGAAUUCCAGGUGUAGCGGUGAAAUGCGUAGAUAUCUGGAGGAACACCGGUGGCGAAGGCGGCAUCCUGGACCGAUAC
rnacentral:rRNA from 1 species